AUGUAUGGUGAUAUCCUUGGUGCAUGUGGAAUAUUUGGCCAUUUCCAAAUUGAGACUCUUUCAACGUGAUUGAAAGGUGGUUCCUUGGGUUGAAAUGGUGGAUUUCUCUUUUUGGCCAUGCAAGGCGAGGUGUCGAAGGCAUCGCUCACUUCAGAGAGGCCUACCGAAGGCAUCGCAUGCGCCACAUGAUGACGAGGUGCCGAAGGUAUCGCUCACGCUGA
rnacentral:lncRNA from 1 species